CAUUGGUUUUGGAUGCAUCCAAAACCAUUUUCAUUAGCGCUAAAAUUGGUGAAUUGAUUUGCAUUUUCCUGCAGGGUUUGUUUUUAACGCAUCCAAAACCAUUCUGAUGAGCUAUACAUUGGCAAAUUUGUCUAGGGAUUGGUUUUGGACGCAUCUAAAACCAUUUUCAAAAGCACUAAAAUCGGCUGAUUUGUUUUCAUUUGUCUGGGGAUUUUUUGCUAAAAUCAGCGAAUUGGUUUGCAUUUCUCCAGGAUAGUUUUGGACAUAUUGGUCAAUUGUUUUGCAUUUUCUCGCAGGGUUGGUUUUGGACGCGUCCGAAACCAUUCUCAUGAGCUAUAAAUUGGCUAAUUUGUUUGCAUUUGUCUAGAGAUUGGUUUUAGAUGCAUCCAAAACCAUUUUCAUUAGCGCUAAAAUUGGUGAAUUGAUUUGCAUUUUCCUGCAGGG